UACGUAGGGGGCUAGCGUUGUCCGGAAUCAUUGGGCGUAAAGAGCGUGUAGGCGGUCCGGUAAGUCCGCUGUGAAAGUCGGGGGCUCAACCCUCGAAUGCCGGUGGAUACUGUCGGGCUAGAGUGCGGAAGAGGCGAGUGGAAUUCCUGGUGUAGCGGUGAAAUGCGCAGAUAUCAGGAGGAACACCAAUGGCGAAGGCAGAUCUCUGGGCCGUAACUGACGCUGAGGAGCGAAAGCAUGGGGAGCGAACAGG
rnacentral:rRNA from 1 species